rnacentral:ncRNA from 1 species
CCCCGCCCAAAAACACAAGGUCUUGGUCUUUAACCUCACAUCACCUGCCCCCAAAAUUAUACAUGCAAGCCUCCACACAACAGUGAGCCGCCCGCAAGAUCCACAGGAAAAAGCGGAGCUGACAUCAGACCCUAGACCCACCCAGCCUAAUCAACAACGUCACGUAACACCACGCCUACACAGGAAGUCAGCAGUAGCCAACAUUAGGCCAUAAACGAAAGUUCGACCUAGCUAUGGGACAAAUCAAAGCCGGUAAAACUCGUGCCAGCUACCGCGGUUAUACGAGAGGCUUAAGAUGAUACUAACGGCGUAAAAACGACUAGAGCCAACCUAAUUAAGAAUGAAACCACACUGGCUGUCCAACGCCAAGAUCAAAGGAAACCACUAUCUUAAAUCACUUCAAUCGUGAAAGCUGGGGAACAAACUGGGAUUAGAUACCCCACUAUGCCCAGUCGUAACAAGGUAGCACCCACACUGCCCGCCCGAUAAGUACGAGCAAAAAGCUUAAAAUUCAAAGGACUUGACGGUGACCCACAUCAACCUAGAGGAGCCUGUCCCAUAAUCGAUAACCCGCGUUUAACCUCACCAUUUCUUGCCAUUCAGUCUAUAUACCGCCGUCGUCAGCCCACCCUGCAAAGGCACCGAAGCGGGCCAAAUAGUUAAUACACUAAAACGACAGGUCAACGCGUAGCACAUGGAGUGGAGAAAGAUGGGGUACAUUUUCUACACCAGAACACACGGAAAGAUGCCAUGAAAAAGCACUACAAGGUGGAUUUAGCAGUAAGACAGGGCAACCCCCCAGUCUGAACCAACGCCCUGGGCCGCGUACACACCGCCCGUCACCCCCGUCAUACCACACUAAUGUCAGUUCAUAAAACAAAAAACAACACUGAGACGGGGUAAGUCGUAACAUGGUAAGCGUACUGGAAAGUGCGCUUGAACAC